GGAGGGGUUCCCGAGUGGCCAAAGGGAGCAGACUGUAAAUCUGCCGCUUCUAGCUUCGAAGGUUCGAAUCCUUCUCCCUCCACCA
rnacentral:tRNA from 1 species